AAAAAAAAUUUCUAAAAAAUCUCGAAUGAAAAUUUUCAUCAAAAAAAUAAAUAUGAAC
rnacentral:tRNA from 1 species